UCGUCAUGCAUUUUUAGUUAAAUAUUUAUAUUAUACUUAUUAAAAUGAGUAAUUUGUUAGAAUGAGUAAUUGCAUUUCUUGUAUUUAUAUUAUUAUUAAAUUAAUUUUAUUUUAACUUAUUGACUUUAACAUUUUAUUAUAUGUAGGAUUUUUAUUUUACAUGAACUGUUUUUCUUUUCUUUUUUUAGAACAUUGUUCUUGUCUAAAUGUUUUUCUUUACAUACAAAACUUGAAGAAUAUUCUUUUGAAACUUUCCCUAUUACAAUUUUCGCAUAAGAAAAUCUUAGGUGUUUUUAAUUUUUUUAAUACUAAUACUCA
rnacentral:lncRNA from 1 species